CCAGGUGUAGGAGGUGGCUGGUGGGGAGGCCAGGCUGUGAGCAGCUGCCGGGAAGUUGGGGCACAGGAAGUGGUGGGGUGGGGUCUUGGUAUUCGCCUUGUGUGGGCGGGACUAGAGGAAACCACUAACAAAGUGCUGGGCUUGUGGGUCUCCCAGACCCUCUGAGCACGUGGCGUUCCCUUGCCCUGGGCCCUUUUUGGUAGCAGAGUCUGAGAGUAGAGGACAGGACAAUUUCUGGUGGCUUAUAGCACAACCCAGUGUGCUUGCUGGAGGUCUCAGGUGCACCCAAAUUGGAGCUGGAAGAGUCUGGAGACAAAUGAAACUACCUAGCCAAGCCAAGCCAAGAACUGUUAGCACUUCUGCUACAAGAUCAGACUUUGCACAAACUGAUGGGAACCAAAAACAAGUGAAGAGGAUUGAAGAUGAACCCACAUUUCAAAAGUCCUUGUCUGCUGGAGGUGGCAUUACCUGUGACCUCGCUUCACAUCUUCAUACAUGGCUGUUGUAGCAGAGACAUUCCCUGCCUGUGAUUUAGGGAGAAAAGCAAGCUGUUGGACUUUGAGGAUCAAAACAUGAGUUUUCUCACACCAGGCAGAGACAUUCCCUGGAGUGAUUUAGGGAGACAGACAAACUGUUGGACUUUGAGGAUCACACCAUAAAAUUUGCUGAUAGCAGGAUCCUGAAUAUGAUGCUCAAGUGACACAGACAUUGACUACAAGUUGGACAAAAUGGCCUUUUAGUUUAUCCCAGGCCUGAGACUCUGAGUUUGUAAUUCUUUGGCUGGGGGGAAAGGAAACUUUACUCACUAAUGCCUGUGCUGAUCAGAUAACCUCAAAACCCAGACACACUGCAUAAUUCUCCGACAGCAAUAACUCAGCUGGCAGUUCCAGGCAGAGACGUGGGAGAAAGUCCAAUAUCCGGGAAGCGCUAGGAUCUACAACUUCCUGUGGACUGCCUAGUGAAAUUUGACCAGAUAAGAACAGUUAAUAAGAAGUUCUUGAGAUAGAAAAUCUUCUUUUAUUUCUGAAUGUGGGUAUAUUGAUGUUAAAUACCUGAAUGGAUGAGGUUAAUUUGAAUAAUCUUCUAUUGUUGCAAGAAAUAUGGGAAAAUGUUCAGGAAAAAUUGAAAAACUCUUCACACUUAUGGCAUGAACUGAAAGAAGUAUUUUAUUAUUCUGAAAAAUGAUGACUCCACUGUUUUGUGUGAGGGUAAAAGCUUUUAAGAACUGGACCCUGAGGCACCCCAUUGUGGUGCCUGGGAAGAUAUCAAGACUCAUAUUCUGGACCUGCCUUCUGUAACACUUUGCAAGUCAUGCCAGAGUCCCAUCAAGGCUGAACAAUUUGCCUUGAGGUCCCUAAAUUUUUCCAACUGCAAUUAAUGACUUGAAAAAGAAAACAAACAUUGCAAUGAAAGCAUUUAAUGGCUAUAAAUUCAAUUGCCAAGAAUUUCUUCUCUUUUGAAUACUCAGAGGAAUGGAUCCCUGGGCAAUGACUUAUUAUUUCCCUUGCCCGCACUGCAAUGAUUACAGAGACUGUCCAGGUAAAUAUUUUGAUAACUAGAUAAUUCUAGUGACCCUCCCUCCUUUCUUAUCUUGAAACAAUUUCAUAACUGUGAUCAUAUGCCCCCUUUCUCCUGUCAUCAUGCAGGAGUGAACUUAUAACUAUAUAAUAUAACUAUAAAACUAUUAUAUAUAUAUAUAUGCAAAUAGUUAUAACUAUGUAACUAUAACAUGUCAGAAGCUGUAUUCAUGGCUCAAACUCCCUUUGUAAGCAAACCCAAGCUACGGGCCUGAUAAAGAUUUAACAAGAAAGCAGCAUAGCUUAGUAUUUAAGUGAGAGCUCUGUUGUCAGGUGAUUCUGAAUUAAAUUCCUGGCUCUGCCAUUUAAUAAUUGUGUCACUUCUGAGCAUCUCAGUUUCUUCAUCUGGAAAACAGAUAUAAUUAUGGUCAUACUUAUCUAAUAAGGUUGUUUAGGAUAAAAUAAAACAAUGCACAGCGAUGCCUCAUUAAAAUGUUCAGUAAAUAGUAGCUACUAUUAUUGAGAAGCAGAUUUCCUCAUCAUGUUCACAAGAUGUGAAGAUGUAGUGGAAGUGGUAACUGUGAAUAUAAGUACUUUAUGAAGUAUGAGGUGUUUCUGAGAGUAUACCAUCGAUUUUUCUGUUGAGUUGGCAUAUCCUAGUAUUAGAGGUAUUUGUGGAGGGCUGCAUUUGUGGAGGACCUCCGCAACUCCUGGGACUACAGCUAUAUUAGUGGAUGCUUGGAUAAUAGCAAUUUAAACACCAAAAUCCUUGGUCAUUUAAGUAAAGUAGGUUAAAAAAAUAACCAUUAGUUUUAUUUCAAGACAGGAUAAACAACUGGGUUAUGAUACUUGUGCCUGUCUUACUGUUUUACUUCUCCAGCAAAAGGUUGACAGUUCCUUAUUUGGCUUUUGCAUCAAACAUAAACCCAACAAGAUGGUAGAAAUGCAUUUAUAAUUCUUGCUUUUGGGGAUAUGGCUUGGAUAAGUUGGAAAGUAAAGUUGAGGCAUUCUGUGAAGAACUCCCAUUCUUGUAGGAGUUGGAAACACAUCUGAGAUCUGCACCUGAAGAGAGAAGGGAAGCUGGAAAACACAGUGGAUUGGCUUUUCAUACACCUGGGAUUGGACUGAAGUGGGAUUAGAUUGAUUGGAUUGAAGUGCUAAGAGUAUGGAAUUGUCCAUUUUUGUUGUUGGAAUAUCAGUUGCCUAGUAUAAAGGUGUUUGCUGAGACAAUGAGAUCUAGGUCUUAAGGCACCUGCAUGAACUUGACACAGACCUGGGGAAUCCAUUUGCCUCUGCCUCUCUAAGACUUAGGUUUUUUUUUCUUUUUUCUUUUUUAAAGAUUUAUUUGCCUUUUUUAUAGAAAGAGAGAGUGAGCGAAUGCAAAAGGGGAAGGGGGAGAGGGAGAGAGACUCCUAAGCAGACACUGCACUGACCAUGGAGCCUGAUGUGGGGCUCUAUCUCAAGACCCUGAGAUCGGGACCUGAGCUGAAACCAAGAGUUGGACGCCUUAACCAAGUGCACCACUCAGGGGCCCCUUUCUUUUUCUUUUUUAAAAAUCAAAGUGAAAUUUAUGUAUAGUGAAAUACACAUAUUUUAAAUGUAAAACUGAUGAAUUAUGAAAAAUAUAUAUACUUAUGUAACCACAACCUCAGUAAAGGAAUGGAAUAUUUCUACAAUCCCCCCAAAUUCUCUUGUAUUCCCUUCCUGUCAAUUUAUACUGCAACUGGCAAUCACUGUUCUGUUUUCCAUUUCCCUCAGAAUAGCUUUGUCAGCUCUUAAACUUCAUAUGCAUAAAAGCAUACAAAAUGCACAUUUUUUUGUAUCUAGCUUCUUGUACUUAACAUUUUUGAGAUUUAUCCAUGUUGCUGCAUGCAUGUAUUAGUUGUUUCUUAUUACUGAGGAAUGUCCAUGGUAUGAAUAUACCACGGUUGGUUUACCUAUUUUUAUACUGAUAGAAUUUGGGUUGUUUCUGAUUUGGGGCUAUGUUGAAUAAUGCUGCUAUAAACAUUUAUGUACAAGUCAUUUUGUGGACAUGUUUUCAGUUCUCUUUGGCAAAUAUCUAGGAGUCUAGGGGCUGAAUCAGAGCAGAUAUAGGUUUAUUUUUUUUAAGUUUACAGAUUUUUUUUGAAAUUGUAAAAUUUUACUGGCUUACCAGCGAUAUAUAAGAGUUCCUGUUGCGUCACACCCUUGCCAAAAAUUGGUGUUGUUGGUAUUUUUUAUUUUAGCCAUUCUGGUGGAUGUGUGGUAGUAUCUCAUUGGUUUUUUAAAAACUAUUUUGAAAUUAUUGGAUCACAUGGAAUUUCUAUUUUUAACUUUUUA